rnacentral:tRNA from 1 species
GUUGUGGUUUAGUGGUAGAGCACUUGCCUAGAAUGUGUGAGGCCCUGGGUUCAAUUCUCAGCACAACA